UGGGGCGUGGCCAAGUGGUAAGGCAUCGGGUUUUGAUCCCGCUAUUCGGAGGUUCGAAUCCUUCCGUCCCAGA
rnacentral:tRNA from 1 species